rnacentral:rRNA from 1 species
UACGUAGGGGGCAAGCGUUGUCCGGAAUCAUUGGGCGUAAAGCGCGUGUAGGCGGCCCGAUAAGUCCGCCGUGAAAGCCCAGGGCUCAACCCUGGGAUGCCGGUGGAAACUGUCGGGCUAGAGUCCGGAAGAGGCGAGUGGAAUUCCUGGUGUAGCGGUGAAAUGCGCAGAUAUCAGGAGGAACACCUAUGGCGAAGGCAGCUCGCUGGGACGGUACUGACGCUGAGGCGCGAAAGCGUGGGGAGCGAACAGG